UCUAAUAUAUGCCAAACCUGUUGCGAAACAGGGACGGAAAGCCACGGGUCUCAUGAAGAUAGCCGGGUUGCCAGA
rfam:Sulfurovum sp. NBC37-1 genomic DNA, complete genome.